CACUAACCCGUUAAGUUCCCGCCUGGGGAGUACGCCGGCAACGGUAAAACUCAAAGGAAUUGACGGGGACNCGCACAGCGGUGGAGCAUGUGGUUUAAUUCGAUGCAACGCGAAGAACCUUACCUGCCCUUGACAUCUCGGAACUUUCCAGAGAUGGAUUGGUGCCUUCGGGAGCCGAGAUACAGGUGCUGCAUGCUGUCGUCAGCUCGUGUCGUGAGAUGUUGGGUUAAGUCCCGCAACGAGCGCAACCCUUGCCCUAGUUGCCAGCACGUAAUGGUGGGAACUCUAGGGAGACUGCCGGUGACAAACCGGAGAAGGUGGGGACGACGUCAAGUCAUCAUGGCCCUUAUGGGCAGGGCUACACACGUGCUAAAUGGCGAGUACAGAGGGUUGCAAACCUGCAAAGGUCAGCUAAUCCCUUAAAGCUCGUCUAGUCCGGAUCGGAGUCUGCAACUCGACUCCGUGAAGUCGGAAUCGCUAGUAAUCGCGAUCAGAAUGUCGCGGUGAAUACGUUCCCGGGUCUUGUACACACCGCCCGUCACACCAUGGAGUUGGUUGCACCAGAAGUAGGUAGCUUAACCCUCGGGAGGGCGCUUACCACGGUGUGGUAAUGACUGGGGUG
rnacentral:rRNA from 1 species